CCUUUUCCUGUUCGGGGCUCUCGACGCUGCAGACCUGACCGGCAGGAAGGAGAGCCUCCACAGGGGACCAUGUGCACCACGCUGAUGGUCCUGACCAGCAUCGGGCUCAUCUUGCGGCACAGAUUCUCCAGCAGAAUCAACCCGCAGAAGGAAGAAGAAGUGCCGUACGAGAAGAGCAACCAAGCAGCAGACAGAAAAUGACAGUGACAAACACCAGGACGACGAAACAUGUGAGCAAUUAUGGAGUAUUGUGAGCAACAGGU